rnacentral:tRNA from 1 species
GCGGGCGUAGCUCAGUGGUAGAGCGCGUCCUUGCCAAGGACGAGGUCGUGGGUUCGAACCCCAUCGCCCGCUCCA